UGGGUCAGAUGGAGCUGAGGG
rnacentral:miRNA from 1 species